CACGUAGGGCGCGAGCGUUGUCCGGAAUUACUGGGCGUAAAGAGCUUGUAGGUGGUUUGUCGCGUUGUUCGUGAAAUCUCACGGCUCAACUGUGAGCGUGCGGGCGAUACGGGCAGACUAGAGUACUGCAGGGGAGACUGGAAUUCCUGGUGUAGCGGUGAAAUGCGCAGAUAUCAGGAGGAACACCAGCGGCGAAGGCGGCGCUCUGGGCCGGUACUGACACUGAGGAGCGAAAGCGUGGGUAGCAAACAGG
rnacentral:rRNA from 1 species